GUCCUGAGGGAUUGCUCAGUUGGUAGAGCAUGAGACUCUCAAUCUCAGGAUCAUGGGUUUGAUCCCCAUGUUGGGCA